rnacentral:rRNA from 1 species
UACGUAGGCAGCAAGCGUUGUUCGGAGUUACUGGGCGUAAAGAGUGCGUAGGCGGUCCGCUAAGUUCGGUGUGAAAUCCCUCAGCUCAACUGGGGAACUGCGUCUGAGACUGGCCGGCUUGAGUGCAGGAGAGGAACGCGGAAUUCCAGGUGUAGCGGUGAAAUGCGUAGAUAUCUGGAGGAACACCGGUGGCGAAGGCGGCGUUCUGGACUGCUACUGACACUGAGGAACGAAAGCCAGGGGAGCAAACGGG